rnacentral:rRNA from 1 species
UACGUAGGGGGCAAGCGUUGUCCGGAAUGACUGGGCGUAAAGCGCGCGCAGGUGGUCUUUUAAGUCUGAGGUGAAAGGCUGGGGCUCAACCCUGGCAUCGCCUUGGAAACGGGAAGACUUGAGGACUGGAGAGGCAAGGGGAAUUCCACGUGUAGCGGUGAAAUGCGUAGAGAUGUGGAGGAAUACCAGUGGCGAAGGCGCCUUGCUGGACAGUGCCUGACGCUGAGGCGCGAAGGCGUGGGGAGCAAACAGGAUUAGAUACCCUGGUAGUCCACGCGGUAAACGAUGAGUGCUAGGUGUCGGAGGGUACCACCUCCGGUGCCGAAGGAAACCCAAUAAGCACUCCGCCUGGGGAGUACGGUCGCAAGACUGAAACUCAAAGGAAUUGACGGGGGCCCGCACAAGCAGUGGAGCAUGUGGUUUAAUUCGAAGCAACGCGAAGAACCUUACCAGGACUUGACAUCCCCCUGACGGGAAUAGAGAUAUUCCGUCCCUUCGGGGCAGGGGAGACAGGUGGUGCAUGGUUGUCGUCAGCUCGUGUCGUGAGAUGUUGGGUUAAGUCCCGCAACGAGCGCAACCCUUGAUCAGUGUUACCAGCACGUAAAGGUGGGGACUCACUGAUGACUGCCGGUGACAAACCGGAGGAAGGCGGGGAUGACGUCAAAUCAUCAUGCCCCUUAUGUCCUGGGCCACACACGUGCUACAAUGGGCGGUACAACGGGAAGCAAGAGAGCGAUCUGGAGCGAAACCCUAAAAGCCGUUCGUAGUUCGGAUUGCAGGCUGCAACCCGCCUGCAUGAAGCCGGAAUUGCUAGUAAUCGCGGAUCAGCAUGCCGCGGUGAAUCCGUUCCCGGGCCU